rnacentral:rRNA from 1 species
UGGGGAAUUUUGGACAAUGGGGGCAACCCUGAUCCAGCCAUGCCGCGUGUGCGAAGAAGGCCUUCGGGUUGUAAAGCACUUUUGGCAGGGAAGAAACGGCGCCGGCUAAUAUCUGGCGUAACUGACGGUACCUGCAGAAUAAGCCCCGGCUAACUUCGUGCCAGCAGCCGCGGUAAUACGAAGGGGGCUAGCGUUGCUCGGAAUCACUGGGCGUAAAGGGUGCGUAGGCGGGUCUUUAAGUCAGGGGUGAAAUCCUGGAGCUCAACUCCAGAACUGCCUUUGAUACUGAGGAUCUUGAGUUCGGGAGAGGUGAGUGGAACUGCGAGUGUAGAGGUGAAAUUCGUAGAUAUUCGCAAGAACACCAGUGGCGAAGGCGGCUCACUGGCCCGAUACUGACGCUGAGGCACGAAAGCGUGGGGAGCAAACA